GACGAACCGAGCGAACGUUAUUCGGAAUCACUGGGCUUAAAGGGCGCGUAGGCGGGUGGCCAAGUCUAUGGUGAAAUCCUCCAGCUUAACUGGAGAACUGCCGUGGAUACUGGUCAUCUCGAGGAAGGUAGGGGCAUCUGGAACUGGUGGUGGAGCGGUGAAAUGCGUUGAUAUCAUCAGGAACUCCGGUGGCGAAGGCGAGAUGCUGGACCUUUUCUGACGCUGAGGCGCGAAAGCCAGGGGAGCAAACGGGAUUAGAUACCCCGGUAGUCCUGGCCCUAAACGUUGAGUACUAGAUAGUGGACUAGGCAUGGGUUCACUGUCGAAGCAAAAGUGCUAAGUACUCCGCCUGGGGAGUAUGGUCGCAAGGCUGAA
rnacentral:rRNA from 1 species